rnacentral:rRNA from 1 species
AUUGAACGCUGGCGGCAUGCCUAACACAUGCAAGUCGAACGCGAAAGCGGGGCAACCCGCAAGUAGAGUGGCGGACGGGUGAGUAACGCGUAGGAAUCUACCUGGUAGUGUGGGACAACCCGGCGAAAGCCAGGCUAAUACCGCAUACGAUCCAAGGAUGAAAGCAGGGGACCGCAAGGCCUUGCGCUAUCAGAUGAGCCUGCGUCGGAUUAGCUAGUUGGUAGGGUAAAAGCCUACCAAGGCAACGAUCCGUAACUGGUUUGAGAGAACGACCAGUCACACUGGGACUGAGACACGGCCCAGACUCCUACGGGUGGCUG